GACGAACGCUGGCGGCGUGGAUUAGGCAUGCAAGUCGAACGGUAUAAACCUUUCGGGGUUUAGAGAGUGGCGAACGGGUGAGUAACACGUAGGUAAUCUACCCUCAAAACGGGGACAACCCAGGGAAACUUGGGCUAAUACCGGAUGCGUGCAAACAAUGUUUUGGCUGUUGUAAUUAUUCACGGAAGUGAAUAGUUAUGAGAGUUCAGAGCAUAAUUUGCAUAAAAGGUGGCGUAAGCUGUCGUUUGAGGAUGAGCCUGCGUCCUAUUAGUUAGUUGGUGAGGUAAUGGCUUACCAAGGCGAUGAUAGAUAGGCGGCCUUAACGGGUGGUCGCCCACACUGGGAUUGAGAUACGGCCCAGACUCCUACGGGAGGCAGCAGUCGAGAAUAGUCUACAAUGGCCGGAAGGCUGAUAGUGCGACGCCGCGUGAACGAGGGAGCCCUUCGGGGUGUAAAGUUCUUUUCUAUUACGAGCAGUGCUUAUAUAUAAUGGAUAGUAGUAUAUAGAGGGAUAGU
rnacentral:rRNA from 1 species